GACGAACGCUUGCGACGUGCCUAAGAAAUGCAAGUCGAACGGACCAUCCUUCGGGUGGUUAGUGGCGAACGGUCGCGUAACACGUGGGCAACCUGCCCUGAAGCGGGGGACAACAGCCUGAAAGGGCUGCUAAUACCGCAUGUGGGAUCCGCCCUGGCAUCGAGGGUAUUAUACCAAAGCCUUCGGGCACUUCAGGAGUCGGGCCCGCGGCCUAUCAGCUAGUUGGGAGGGGUAACCGGCCCACCAAGGUCUCGGACGGGUAGCUGGUCUGAGAGGACGAUCAGCCGGAUUGGGACUGAGAUACGGCCCAGACUCCGUACGGGGGGCAGCAAUUAGGAA
rnacentral:rRNA from 1 species